GUACUCACUUCGGCAGCAUAUAUACUAAAAUGGGAAUGAUACAGAGAAGAUUAGCGUGGCCCCUGUGCAAGGAUGAUAAGCAAACUCGUGAAGCGUUUCAUAUUUUA